GCAUGUCUCUCAAUCAGUUGGGUGCAGAUAAUAUGGUUGCGUGGUACAAACUUCCAUGAACAUGGCCGAGUAGAGAUGAAAGCGUCAAUAUCGUACUGGUACUCGACCUGCAAAUUGUUUGAAGUUACUCUCGAGUCUCAACUCUGCUAUAUGAAGUUAGCUUUUGUUUUUGACUUUUGAUCGAUCUACAGCAUCUCGCUUGUUUCGUUGCCCGUUGUUUGUUUCCUCGUCUUUUAAGCAAAAACUGUGUUAGGGUUAGACAUUUUUUUGGGCUAUUAAGAACUUCAUACACAGAAAUAAGCUUGGCAAUUAGGGUUUAGAGCACAGAAGUGACAGAACUACACUAACUCUACCUGAAGCCGUAGGCUGCUGCCACCAAUAGACAUGC
rnacentral:lncRNA from 1 species